AUGGUCCUCCUCCGUUACGGCGUCAUGUAUCUCAUCGAGCACCCACCCCCACCCAACGCCACCAGCCAGUACCUCGAGCUCGACACCCACGUCGCCCUCGCCAUGUAUGCCACCCUCUCUGAUCAGAUCGUAGAUCACGUGAUCGGCGCCACCACCACCUUCGAUCUCUGGUCUCGGAUCCGGGAUUAUUUCCUCGCAAAUUGCGCGGCCCGGUACAUGAUACUCAAUCGUCAGUACCGCAACCUCAAGCAGGGCGACCUCUCCGUUGACGAGUACGCACGCCGCAUGAAGCUCCUCACCGCUGGCCUCGCCGACAUCGACCAUGCUGUCUUUGAGGUGGAUCUGACCACGCAGUUCCUUCACGGCAUCGACGGCCGCCUCGACAUGAUCCGAGUCGUGCUGGGGGACACGGUUCCCCUGCCCCCUUUUGAGACCGUGUUCUCGCGC
rnacentral:rRNA from 1 species